rnacentral:rRNA from 1 species
GGAGGCAACUCUGACCCAGCCAUGCCGCGUGCAGGAAGACGGCCCUAUGGGUUGUAAACUGCUUUUAUACAGGAAGAAACCCUCCCACGUGUGGAGGGCUGACGGUACUGUACGAAUAAGGACCGGCUAACUCCGUGCCAGCAGCCGCGGUAAUACGGAGGGUCCAAGCGUUAUCCGGAAUCAUUGGGUUUAAAGGGUCCGUAGGCGGGCAAUUAAGUCAGAGGUGAAAUCCCACAGCUCAACUGUGGAACUGCCUUUGAUACUGGUUGUCUUGAGUUAUAGUGAAGUGGAUAGAAUAUGUAGUGUAGCGGUGAAAUGCAUAGAUAUUACAUAGAAUACCGAUUGCGAAGGCAGA